AUGUUUGCUUUGACAGCAUAUAUACUGAAAUUGAAGUGAUACAGAGAUUAGCAUAGACCCUGCACAAGAAUUACAUGUAAAUUCACAAAGAGUUCCAUAUUUUU